UAGCUGAGUUCAUUGCCACUCUCCUCUUUCUCUACAUCACUGUCUUGACUGUGAUCGGUUACAAGACCCAGACCGACCCUGCUAAGGGCGGUGAAGAUUGUGGCGGCGUUGGCAUUCUCGGCAUUGCUUGGGCUUUUGGUGGCAUGAUCUUUAUCCUUGUUUACUGCACUGCCGGUAUCUCUGGUAAGUACGCAAAAUGGGCUAAUAACGGGAUACGAUUUAGCAAAUGACUAACAACUUAGCUCAAUAUUGUAGGGGGACACAUCAACCCAGCAGUAACCUUUGGACUUUUCUUGGCUAGGAAGGUGUCGUUGGUUCGAGCCAUAUUUUACAUGGGUGCUCAGUGUUUGGGAGCCAUAUGUGGGUGUGGGCUGGUCAAGGCCUUCCAAAACUCGUACUACAACCAGUAUGGAGGAGGAGCCAACAGCCUGGCUGAAGGAUACAGCACUGGAACUGGUUUGGCGGCUGAAAUCAUCGGCACCUUUGUCCUUGUCUACACUGUUUUCUCUGCAACUGAUCCCAAGAGGAAUGCAAGAGACUCCCAUAUCCCUGUAUGUCUCUAACUUUAACCUUAUCACAAACGUAAAUUG
rnacentral:lncRNA from 1 species